UACGGAGGGUGCAAGCGUUAUCCGGAUUCACUGGGUUUAAAGGGUGCGUAGGUGGUUUUGUAAGUCAGCGGUGAAAGCCUACAGCUUAACUGUAGAAUUGCCGUUGAUACUGCUUAACUUGAAUCAAGUCGAAGUGGAUGGAAUAGAUCAUGUAGCGGUGAAAUGCUUAGAUAUGAUUUAGAACACCAAUUGCGAAGGCAGUUCACUAGGCUUGUAUUGACACUGAGGCACGAAAGCGUGGGGAUCAAACAGG
rnacentral:rRNA from 1 species